UACGUAGGGUGCGAGCGUUGUCCGGAAUUAUUGGGCGUAAAGAGCUCGUAGGCGGUCUGUCGCGUCGGAUGUGAAAACCCAGGGCUCAACCCUGGGCCUGCAUUCGAUACGGGCAGACUAGAGUUCGGUAGGGGAGACUGGAAUUCCUGGUGUAGCGGUGAAAUGCGCAGAUAUCAGGAGGAACACCGGUGGCGAAGGCGGGUCUCUGGGCCGAAACUGACGCUGAGGAGCGAAAGCGUGGGGAGCGAACAGG
rnacentral:rRNA from 1 species